rnacentral:rRNA from 1 species
CGAAAGCGUGGGUAGCAAACAGGAUUAGAUACCCUGGUAGUCCACGCCGUAAACGAUGAGAACUAGCCGUUGGUCUUUAGAUUCAGUGGCGCAGCUAACGCAUUAAGUUCUCCGCCUGGGGAGUACGGCCGCAAGGCUAAAACUCAAAUGAAUUGACGGGGGCCCGCACAAGCGGUGGAGCAUGUGGUUUAAUUCGAUGCAACGCGAAGAACCUUACCAACCCUUGACAUCCAGUGGAAGUUUUAGAGAUAAAACUGUGCCUUUGGGAACACUGUGACAGGUGUUGCAUGGCUGUCGUCAGCUCGUGUCGUGAGAUGUUGGGUUAAGUCCCGUAACGAGCGCAACCCUUAUCCUUAUUUGCCAGCACUUCGGGUGGGAACUUUAAGGAGACUGCCGUGAAUAACACGGAGGAAGGUGGGGACGACGUCAAGUCAUCAUGGCCCUUACGGGUUGGGCUACACACGUGCUACAAUGGGAGAUACAGACGGUUGCGAAAGCGCGAGCUGGAGCUAAUCCUACAAAGUCUUCCUCAGUCCGGAUUGGAGUCUGCAACUCGACUCCAUGAAGUAGGAAUCGCUAGUAAUCGCGAAUCAGAAUGUCGCGGUGAAUACGUUCUCGGGCCUU